rnacentral:snRNA from 1 species
AGGUGCGUCCUUGCAACAUACUUACCUGGACGGGGUCGAUGGCUGAUCAAGAAGGGCCAUGGCCUAGAUCAAUGGCUCACAUUGCAUUUGGUGAGUGUGUUGGUCUACCAUCUCCUCAAGUGGGAGAGUGGAUGUCGUAAUUUGUGA